UUCUUCACCUCAUUGAGCAGUCUGCGCUGUGCUCUUGCAGUCAUCUUUACAGGACGGCCACUCCUAGGGAGAGUAACAGCAGUGCUGAACUUUCAUUUAUAGACAAUUUGUCUUACCGUGGACUGAUGAACAGCAAGGCUUUUGGAGAUACUUUUAUAACCCUUUCCAGCUUUAUGCAAGCUUUAUGCAAGUCAACAAUUCUUAAUCGUAGGUCUUCUGAGAGCUCCUUUGUGUGAGGCAUCAUUCACAUCAGGCAAUGCUUCUUGUGAAAAGCAAACCCAGAACUGGUGUGUGUUUUUUAUUAGGCAGGGCAGCUGUAACCAAUACCUCCAAUCUCAUCUCAUU